CUCUUCCCUGCCUGCACUGCUAUGUUUUCCUUAUACACCGCAGCAGGAGGAUUUACUUUUCGUCAUUUUGACAACUGAGACAACGUCUGUGAAACAGUCCCAUAAAAUUUGAAGAUAAGAUUUAUGGCAUUAUACAGAAAAUAUCUCCUGAAAGAAACAACCUCUGUGCUAUUGUGGAACUAUGCAAAUACUCCUCACAGGGUAUACUCUAACAACCAGCCGUAGGAAGAAAUCCGAUAUGCAUUCAUUGAAGAGCAGGCUGCUGUGGAGGGAAGCUGAGAUGAUGUUUUUCCUCUAAUCUUUGCUUAUGAGAGAGUCCAUCCAGCCACAGAAGAAAUUUGAUGAGUGGAAAGCCAGAAAGAAAUCUGCUGGUAUUGCAGUAAGCUGGUCCUGCGGAGAUGAACGGUAUUCCUUGUCCUCAAGGCACAGCAAAUGAAACAAGCUGCUCCUCUCUCCAGCUGGGAGUUGCUGAAGGUUAAGCUUAUUAAGUCUGGAGACCUGCUGAGAAGGGAAUGAAGAGCUCACCCAAAGGCAAAAAGUCAGAAAAUGUUUCUUGGGAGAAGAAAGCCAAGGGGAGGAGAGAAUGGCAGGCUACACCCUGCUCUGCUAACGCUGGCAAAACAACGUCAGCAUCCUCUUCUAGGACUGUGUUGUUGGCUGCAGGAGUCUCCAGUCCAGACACUGCACUGUACAAAACAAAUAUCGAAUAUCGAAUAAAAGGUGGAAAUACAUCCCAGGCAACCAAAGAAUUUCCUCCUAGACCUGAUUAGUCUUAUCAGAAAGCUAAUGAUGAUGCCUCUCUGUCUGAUACAUAGGAUGAAAUUACUUAAGUGAGCAGAUAGGAGUAACCAUUUUGGACGUGUGAAGCAAAGAAUGCAUUGUAAUCCAAUGUGUUCCAAGAAGCUGGCAUUCCUGAGGUAGGAAUUUAUCUGCCAUUAUG
ensembl:lncRNA